CCUGCUGUUCGAGUGCUUAAUA
rnacentral:miRNA from 8 species